GCGGGGGUUCCAGAGUGGUCAAAUGGGCAAGACUUAAGAUCUUGUGGCUUAGUGCCUUCGGGAGUUCGAAUCUUCCCCCCCGCA
rnacentral:tRNA from 1 species